AGCUCCAAUAGCGUAUAUUAAAGUUGUUGCAGUUAAAAAGCUCGUAGUUGGAUCUCGGGUCCGGGCCCGCGGUUCCGCUCGUGCGGACACUGCUCGUCCCGACCUCCCCGCCGGUCGUCCCCUGGUGCCCUUGACUGGGUGUCUCGGGUGGCCGGAACGUUUACUUUGAAAAAAUUAGAGUGUUCAAAGCAGGCGGCUCGCCUGAAUAACGGUGCAUGGAAUAAUGGAAAAGGAUCUCGGUUCCUCUUUGUUGGUUUCCGGAACUCGAGGUAAUGAUUGAGAGGGACGGACGGGGGCAUUCGUAUUGCGGUGUUAGAGGUGAAAUUCUUGGAUCGCCGCAAGACGGACUACUGCGAAAGCAUUUGCCAAGAACGUUUUCA
rnacentral:rRNA from 1 species